rnacentral:misc_RNA from 1 species
UUACCAUUCCACAUAAAACUGUACAAAAUUCAAAUCACUUAAACUACAAGAAAUUCAGAGAUGAAUUCACAAAUUAUACUUCUCAAGUUACUUUAUUUGCAAUUGGACCAUGAACUAAAAUCUACCAUACAAUUAGUUGUGAAUGGAAAUUGCUCUUGUUCAUUAAUGCAUAGCUUUUAUAAAGACACACUUCAUUACCUAAAACUAUAGCAUUCCCACGAAUUGUCAAAUCAAUGAGGAGAGAGAUGUUUCCACUAAAUUGAACCUUACUAUUAAAUCUCUCCCUUAUUCAAAUGACUAAAUUUUGAAUGCAAGAAUUUAAUUUUAGAUUUUAAAUUAACACCCUUAACCAAAGAGUAAAAGUUCAAAUAAAGGGAUUCCAAAUAAUAAAAUUUUAAAUGUUAAAUUUCAAAUUCAGUCAUCCAAAAGCAACCUCACACUAUUAACUUAAAGUUUUGCUUGUGCACCAUCCGUUGGCUCUGCAGCAAAACAUAGCAAAUUGAUAUGUCAUUCCAUUGGACAACUUUCAUUUUUCUCACAUUGUUUCUGCCAAGGAUAAAAAUGUAGGCCAGGGAUCUCAUAUUACAAAACUAACGUUGGAAUGAAAUAGAAUAUGAACCAGUGUUUGGAUCUUUAACUGCUUUGAAGUUGUCAACACUCAUACCAAAUCGGCCAAGCAGAGAGUUUCCCAUAUCUUUCAGUUUUGCUGCUCAGAAAGUAAUUCAAAUGAAUUUAAAUAAUCAGUAGACAGAGUUGUACACAAAAAGAAGUAAAGCAGUUGAAGGAGGAAAAAUAAAAAUAAAAAAAAGAAAAAAAAGAGAGAGAGAGGGAGAGAAUACUAGUGGAUGCACACAAAAACGGCUUUCCAUUGCAAUAAUUCCAUAUCAUUGUAAAGCACCUAAACUCCGAAUUAAGAUCUUAACACGCGAAUGACAGAAAUAGUUAAAUACACUUUUUCUUUCAGGAGAAUGGAAUACAAGUUUCUGGUGCAAUUAUAGCAUUACGAUCAUACAUUGACCUUGAAUCCAUAAUUUUGACGACCAACGAUAACAUAAAUUUUUUAUCAAAAUGGUUCCAAGAAAGGGCCAAAAAUGAUGAACAAGAACAGAUGCUAAAACACAUAUUUUAGGCAACUAAACUUAAGCAUCAGUCUGCUUUAAUUUUCUAAGGUCAUGAACAUCAAGCACAGCUUAUAUAAGUGCUUGAAUAGAAAAGUUCAUCUUAUAAAUGGCCUGUCUCCAUGAAUUAUAUAUUCAAAACUUAGGCAAGGGUGGCCUAUUUUUGAGGAAGGCAGAAAAUGAGGGUUUUCAAUCUGUAAGUAACGUCACCUUUCAAAAAUAAUUAGCAUAUGAAUGCAUGUCCUUUUUGUGUACUGGUGGAAAAACAUAAUAUUUAAGUGACUCAAAUUAAGCCUUUGCUUAACUAACAUUAUGCAGUAAAGUGCUUAAUGAAAAGUUAAGCCACUUCAACAAACUGUUUGCCUCUAAUUUCAGUCUUUAUGCACCAUAUAUUCACUAAACAAUACACAAGGCUUGAAUUUCCAAGUUAUUUUGGUCUUUAUAUCACUUCCAAAGGAUUUAUGAACAUUAAACACUUUCGUUUGCAACAGUUGGUAAAGCCAAAAGGGAAACACACAUUGUCAGAGGCAUGCUGUACCUAUUCUGCGCAAUUGAAGGUCCAGCUCACCAUUUCUUUCACCAGCUUUAAAAAUAAAUUUACAAUCAUGCUCUGUUUUAAAACUAACCAGUACAUUCAAUCACCUUGAAACACUAUAGUCCAAGUCAAUAUCUUGAUAUUUAACAUAAUUUCUUAGUCCAAAACCUACUGUUUCAGCGAAUCAAGAUUCUUCACCAUUUUAACCUCCCAUUGCGUUGACCCUGAGGAUCAGGAAUUAUAAGAUUAAAAUAUAUGGAGACUAAUAGAUUAAUAUGAUGAAUUGAAAAACAAAGUCGGCAUUGAGAAAGCAUGCUAAUUACACACAAGGAUCAUUUAACACUUGAUCGACUUUAAAAAUACAGGCUGUUGUUGCCACCUCAUUCAGCGUUGCCCCCAGUUCUGAGAAGAUUAGAGACGAUUAUAAUUGCUUAAGCCUAAACCAUAUGUUUUGCCAACUUCUCCUUCUAAAGUAAAUCAUGCAUCUCAUUGAUCACAAGUAUUUGUCAUAAGAAUAAAAGGGCAAAGAGGAAGGCACAACUAAGGUGGGGACUGGAAUUGGAAAAAUCUAUCAAUAUUUAACAAAAGCAUAAGCAAUUAUGUCAAUAAUUCCAAAAUAUAUUUAUGAAUGUUCAUAGAAAAGGAAACUGCAGAUGUCCCCUUCAAGUUGAGAAACAAAAACAGGCAAACAAGAAACUGAAAAAAUUGUCUAUUGAGCUUACCAAUCAUCUCUUCCUUCAUUUUUUCUCGCUUUUCUGCAGCCAACGGCUCCAAGCGGCGAAUGGCUUUCUUAGCUUGUUCAUUUGAAGGAUCUAAUUCCAAGAUUCUUUUCAUAUCAGCUAUUGCCUCCUCAAAGUGUUCAAGCUUUUCAUGAGCCUCUCCUCGCCUAACCAGAGCUUUCAUGUAGGAAGGAUUUAGUUCUAGGGCCUUUGUACAUUCCUUGAUUGUAUCCUCGUACUUUCCCAAUUUCAAGAAGCAUACAGCACGAUUUGCAUGGCAUAUGGAACGUAACUCCACAAACGAAGGCAUGUCCAGUGCAACUUUUAAUGCAGCAUCAUAUUGUAAUAAAGCCUCCUCAUAGCGCCCAUCUCCAAAUAGUUUAUUGCCUUCCAAUUUCGCUUCAUUAGCUUGUGCUAAAGUUUUCUGUUGCAAUUCGUCGUCGUUUACAUUAGAGUCCGCUUUCACAUCUUGUCGUGGUGCUGGCGGUGGCUGUGGUUCUGGUUGUUGAUGAUUAUCUUCAUUGAUAAUUUCUUCGUUAUCGCUAACUUCGUGCUCGCUUGCCGUUUCGAACCCAUCGGAAUCGUUCUCGUUCACAUUCGAAUCUGCCGCCACCACCGACGGAGUUGUAGAAUCAGUGUAUUUGCUUGAACCCGUCGCCGUUUUGGAAGACGAUGACGAGGGAACUGCUUUUGGCUUUGGAAGAUUGUUGACUAAGAUCUGUUCGUCCACUUCUUCCGGUUCUAUCACCACCAUUUUUUUUAACAGAAACAAGCGAUGUGGCUACUGAUUUGCUGUGAUGCUUGUAGAUAUAAAGAUCAAAGGAAAAUCAAAAUUCCUGCGAGUUCCAGAAUCAUCGUUCGUUUAAUAUGUUCUUGGAGGGGUUAAAUUAUACUUCCCUUGGUUUCCUGGAAAUGCCAUAAUUUAAAUAAAACCCCUAAUCUUUCAUUUAAUUUCAAAGUAAGUCUCAAUUUUUUUUUU